rnacentral:tRNA from 1 species
GGGCGCUUAGCUCAGUGGUAGAGCGCUAUCUUCACACGAUAGAGGCCAGAGGUUCGAUACCUCUAGCGCCCACCG